rnacentral:rRNA from 1 species
AACGAGCGCAACCCUUGCCUUUAGUUGCCAGCAGUUCGGCUGGGCACUCUAAAGGGACUGCCGGUGUUAAACCGGAGGAGGUGGGGAUGACGUCAAGUCCUCAUGGCCUUUAUGACCAGGGCUACACACGUACUACAAUGGCCGAUACAAAGGGCAGCGACACUGCGAGGUGAAGCCAAUCCCGUAAAAUCGGUCUCAGUCCGGAUUGGAGUCUGCAACUCGACUCCAUGAAGUUGGAAUCGCUAGUAAUCGUGGAUCAGCAUGCCACGGUGAAUACGUUCCCGGGCCUU